AAAAGGGAAUGGAAUUUUUCUCUGUCAUCUCUAGAUGGUUUUGAGUCAGAUGGUAAAUGUCAUGCUGCAGUUUGCAGUGCAAGCCGAAAUGCAACAACAUUUUUGUGAUGUGGUUGCAAUAAUGUGGGUUUUGAAGUUUCAAUUCGUGUCAGAGACUUCACUGAGAAUCCCUGUUCCGUUGCACUUAAACAGACUUCUCUUCCGUUUCUCUUGCAUUUGUAUCGCAUAUCAAUUUUGAUUCUAUUCAUCAUGUUUAGUGCUGGAAAAGAUAAAGAUAAAAACCAAACGAAAUGGAUUACUGUUUUAAAAUCAAGAAAAGAAAACUGGAACUUAUUUCUAGGGUUCCACAUGCUGCAAAUCAGUUGAAGAAUCUGAUUCUCAGCAGAAAUAUGUCCGAUUUAGGGAAGACUAUGAGGUUAACGACUCGACUGACAUAAAUUGUAGCUUACCCGAUCAAGUUCAGCUUUCUGUCGAGUGUCAGGAGAACCCAGAGGGGAAAAAUGGAUUUGUGAUAUAUGACACGGACGCCAUUCCUCUUGCCAACAUCCUGUUUCCUCCCAAAGCAAAAGAUCAUGCAUGCUAAAGAUGAAGGAUAAAUGACUUGCAAAAGAUAAAACACACAAAAAACCAUACUUGGAAAUAAAGCACUUUAUUUUUAUGAUUAAGUCAAAAAUUGUAUUUAUUAAUUUGAACUAUUAAUCAAAAAAAAAUAAAAAAAUUA